rnacentral:rRNA from 1 species
CCCUUAGAUGUUCUGGGCCGCACGCGCACUACACUGAACAGUUCAACAAGUCUUAACCUUGGCCGAUAGGUCUGGGUAAUCUUUGAACGCUGUUCGUGAUUGGGAUAGACCUUUGCAAUUAUGGGUCUUCAACGAGGAAUUCCUAGUAAACGCAAGUCAUCAGCUUGCAUUGAUUACGUCCCUGCCCUUUGUACACACCGCCCGUCGCACCUACCGAUUGAAUGGUCCGGUGAAAUCUCGGGACGGCGGCUUGGUCGCUUGCGUCCGACUGCUGAAACUUGAUUAAACCAUAUCAUUUAGAGGAAGGUGAAGUCGUAACAA